GGGCGUCUGCAGGGGCUGCCGUGGCGGCCCGCACCAGCUAUGCCAAAUAAAAACAAGAAGGAAAAAGAAGCACCAAAACUGGUGAAAAGUGGAAAAGGUUCAAAAGAAGACCAAGAUACAGAAGCAGAGAUAGCCAGCAGGAAAAACAGCCUCACAACUGUCCAGUCUUUGACAUCUACUAAAAUAAAUGGACUAGUCCCUCGGUCCAUUGUCCCUGUGAAGAAAGACAAAUGGCAGAACUCUUCAUGGUUUAAUGCCAACAAUAAUAGAGAACUGCAAAAACCCCCAUCUUUAAAAGAUGUUCCUCCUGCAGGCCAAGAGAAGCUUUUUAUCCAGAAGCUACAUCAGUGUUAUGUCCUCUUUGACUUUGCUUCUGAUCCACCGAGUGACCUGAAGAGGAAGUAAAGCGAGCUGCGAUAAGCGAGAUGGUGGAGUAUAUCACCCACAUCACAAAGCCCAUUUACCCCGAGGCCAUCCACAUGUUUGCAGUUAAUAUGUUUCGAACCUUGCCACCCUCCUCCAAUCCUACGGGAGCAGAAUUCGACCCAGAAGAAGAUGAACCAAUGUUAGAAGCAGCCUGGCUUCAUCUGCAGCUUGUUUAUGAAUUUUUCUUAAGAUUUUUUUUUAGAGUCUCCAGAUUUCCAGCCCAACAAAGCAAAGAAAUAUAUUGACCAGAAGUUUGUAUUGCAGCUUCUAGAACUCUUUGACAGCAAGGAUCCUCAGGAGAGAGAUUUUCUAAAAACGACCCUGCACGGAAUCUAUGUGAAGUUCUUAGGCCAUCAGGAAACAGAUCAAUAAUAUAUUUCAUAGGUUUAUCUAUGAGACAGAGUACCACAAUGACAUAGCAAAAUUACUGGUGAUCCAGAGAAGUAUAAUUAUUGGAUUUGCCUUACCACUAAAAGAAGAGCACAAGAUUUUCCUGUUGAAGGUGUUGCUGCCCUUGCACAAAGUGAGGUCCCUAAAGUGUCUACCAUCCCAAGCUGGUAUACUGUGUCAUGCAGUUUUUAGAGAAGAACAGCACCCUCACUGAACCAGUGGUAAUGGCAUGUCUCAAAUACUGGCCAAAGACUCACAGUCCAAAAGAAGUAAUGUUCUUAAAUGAAUUAGAAGAAAUCUUAGAUGUAAUUGAACCAUCAGAAUUUGUGACGAUCAUGGAGCCUCUUUUCUGACAGUUAGCCAAAUGUGUUUCCAGUCCUCACUUCCAGGUGGCAGAGCAGACACUCUAUUACUGGAAUAAUGAGUACAUCAUGAGUUUAAUCAGUAACAAUGCAGCAAAAUUCUGCCCAUCAUGUUUUCAUCUUUAUACCACAACUCAGAGACCCACUGGAACAAGACAAAACAUAGCUUGAUAUACAAUGCUCUGAAACUCUUCAUGGAGAUGAACCAGAAACUCUUCAAUGACUGCACCAAGCAGUUCAAAGCAGAGAAACUCAAAGGGAAGCUAAAAAUGAAAGAGUGAGAAGCAUGGGUUAAAAUAGAAAAUCUAGCCAAAGCGAGUUCCCAGGUACUAAAAGAGACCCAAACCAUGGAGAAGCAAAAUAUUGGAGAGUUGACUGCCCCUCUCACCAAAGUAGGCUGGUAUUCCAUGUUCCUCAUCCACAGGAAAGGCUCUCAGAUUUCUGGUUCUAGCAGUCAAAGGCUGAUGCAGCCCUGUGUGGCAGUCAAAGAGUUAAUGCUGUCCUGA